AGAGUUUGAUCCUGGCUCAGGACAAACGUUGGUGGUGUGCUUAAUACAUGCAAGUCGAACGAGAAAGUCUCUUCGGAGGCGAGUAAAGUGGCGAACGGGUGAGUAACGCGUAGAUAACAUGCCUUUAGCUGGGGGAUAGUCAGUCGAAAGAUUGAAUAAUACCGCAUAAGACCACAGUGUCUGAGGACACAGGGGUUAAAGAUUUAUCGGCUAAAGAUUGGUCUGCGUCCGAUUAGCUUGUUGGUGGGGUAAAAGCCUACCAAGGCGGUGAUCGGUAGCUGGUCUGAGAGGAUGACCAGCCACAUUGGGACUGAGACACGGCCCAAACUCCUACGGGAGGCAGCAGUAGGGAAUCUUGCGCAAUGGGGGAAACCCUGACGCAGCGACACCACAUGAGUGAUGAAGGCUUUAGGGUUGUAAAGCUCUGUUCUUGAUUAACAGACAAAUGAGUAGUCAAGGAGAAAGGACCGGCUAACUUCGUGCCAGCAGCUGCGGUAAGACGAGGGGUCCAAACGUUGUCCGGAAUUAUUGGGCGUAAAGCGGGUGUAGGUGGCUUUGUAAGUCAGAAGUGAAAGCCUCAGGCUCAACCUGAGAAGUGCUUUUGAUCUGCAAAACUUGAGUUUGGAAGGGGGCAAUGGAAUUCUGGUGUA
rnacentral:rRNA from 1 species